ACGGGUGAGUAACACGUGGGUAACCUGCCCCUCACUCUGGGAUAACUCCGGGAAACCGGGGCUAAUACCGGAUACGACCUCCUUGGGCAUCCUUGGUGGUGGAAAGUUUUUCGGUGAGGGAUGGACCCGCGGCCUAUCAGCUUGUUGGUGGGGUAAUGGCCUACCAAGGCUUUGACGGGUAGCCGGCCUGAGAGGGCGACCGGCCACACUGGGACUGAGACACGGCCCAGACUCCUACGGGAGGCAGCAGUGGGGAAUAUUGCACAAUGGGCGAAAGCCUGAUGCAGCGACGCCGCGUGAGGGAUGACGGCCUUCGGGUUGUAAACCUCUUUCAGCAGGGACGAAGCGCAAGUGACUGUACCUGCAGAAGAAGCACCGGCUAACUACGUGCCAGCAGCCGCGGUAAUACGUAGGGUGCGAGCGUUGUCCGGAUUUAUUGGGCGUAAAGAGCUUGUAGGCGGCUCGUCGCGUCGGGUGUGAAAACUUGCGGCUUAACCGCAAGCCUGCACCCGAUACGGGCGGGCUAGAGUUCGGCAGGGGAGACUGGAAUUCCUGGUGUAGCGGUGGAAUGCGCAGA
rnacentral:rRNA from 1 species